rnacentral:rRNA from 1 species
UACGAACUGUGCGAACGUUAUUCGGAAUCACUGGGCUUAAAGGGUGCGUAGGCGGUUACUUAAGUAGGGUGUGAAAUGUCCCGGCUCAACCGGGGAAUGGCGCUCUAAACUGGGUGGCUUGAGUGAGAUAGAGGUGUGCGGAACUUCCGGUGGAGCGGUGAAAUGUGUUGAUAUCGGAGGGAACACCAUUGGCGAAAGCGGCACACUGGGUCUCAACUGACGCUGAGGCACGAAAGCCAGGGGAGCAAAC